rnacentral:rRNA from 1 species
AGAGUUUGAUCCUGGCUCAGGAUGAACGCUAGCGACAGGCCUAACACAUGCAAGUCGAGGGGUAACAUGAGUGCUUGCACUUGAUGACGACCGGCGCACGGGUGCGUAACGCGUAUGCAACUUACCUUGUACUGGGGAAUAGCCCGUGGAAACGCGGAUUAAUGUCCCAUAACACUACAAUUUCGCAUGGAAAAGUGGUUAAAGUUCCGACGGUACAAGAUGGGCAUGCGUGACAUUAGCUAGUUGGUGAGGUAAGGGCUCACCAAGGCGACGAUGUCUAGGGGUUCUGAGAGGAAGGUCCCCCACACUGGUACUGAGACACGGACCAGACUCCUACGGGAGGCAGCAGUGAGGAAUAUUGGUCAAUGGGCGCAAGCCUGAACCAGCCAUGUCGCGUGCAGGAAGACUGCCCUACGGGUUGUAAACUGCUUUUGUAUGGGAAGAAACGUUGGUACGUGUACCAAUUUGCCGGUACCAUACGAAUAAGGAUCGGCUAACUCCGUGCCAGCAGCCGCGGUAAUACGGAGGAUCCAAGCGUUAUCCGGAUUUAUUGGGUUUAAAGGGUGCGUAGGCGGUAGAAUAAGUCAGUGGUGAAAUCCUGCAGCUUAACUGUAGAACUGCCAUUGAUACUGUUUUACUUGAGUGUAAUUGAGGUAGGCGGAAUGUGUUGUGUAGCGGUGAAAUGCAUAGAUAUAACACAGAACACCGAUUGCGAAGGCAGCUUACUAAGUUAUAACUGACGCUGAUGCACGAAAGCGUGGGUAGCGAACAGGAUUAGAUACCCUGGUAGUCCACGCCGUAAACGAUGAUUACUCGCUGUAGGCAAUACACCGUCUGUGGCUGAGCGAAAGCAUUAAGUAAUCCACCUGGGGAGUACGUUGGCAACAAUGAAACUCAAAGGAAUUGACGGGGGCCCGCACAAGCGGAGGAACAUGUGGUUUAAUUCGAUGAUACGCGAGGAACCUUACCUGGACUUAAAUGUAGAUUGACGUAUCCAGAGAUGGAUAUUUCUUCGGACAAUUUACAAGGUGCUGCAUGGUUGUCGUCAGCUCGUGCCGUGAGGUGUCGGGUUAAGUCCCAUAACGAGCGCAACCCCUGUUGUUAGUUACCAGCACAUCAUGGUGGGGACUCUAACAAGACUGCCGGUGUAAACCGCGAGGAAGGUGGGGAUGACGUCAAAUCAGCACGGCCCUUACGUCCAGGGCUACACACGUGUUACAAUGGCCGGUACAGAGGGCAGCUACUUGGUGACAAGAUGCGAAUCUCAAAAACCGGUCUCAGUUCGGACCGAAGUCUGCAACCCGACUUCGUGAAGCUGGAUUCGCUAGUAAUCGCAUAUCAGCCAUGAUGCGGUGAAUACGUUCCCGGGCCUUGUAC